UGAUGAUUAACUUUCAAAACUACAAGAUGAACCCCUUCCACUUCUAGAAUGUGAAGAAUGCUGCCAUAUUACCGGCCCAUAUGAUCAUCAUGACAACUGUCUACCGUUGUCUACCCCGAUACAAGGAAAAUUACAAAUGUGUUGCUAAGCUUAAUAUUAGAUGACUAGAAGCAGUUAGAAGAAUAAAGAACGGUUCCUGAGUUUUACAAUGACCGACUAACUUUUGAUGACUGAUGAAGAUGACUAUGCCAGCAAAAGAUGGAUAACAGAUGUACUUCGAAUAGCAAUAUGACUAAAGUACUACCUUACAUUAUUAAGACUAGAAUAUUGAAUAUAUAACUAAAAUUUAAGUUAUAAAAUAAUAAUGUGGAUUUCAUAUAUAUGUUUAUUUUUAAUUAAAGAUAUACAACUGUUUGCUUUUUAAUCAACCCUCAACUGCAUGCAUUAGAUGAUAUUUGUCAGAGUUUGCACUUCAAGGCAUGU